GCUCCAGACCGAAGUCUAGUUCAUGUUCUAGCUUUAAAACAUUAUUUAAUGUUAAAAUAGCUAAAAAUGCGAAAUAAAUUUUUUUUUUCUCUUUCCAUUCAUUCAUUCCUUGAAUCGCAACCUUUACAUUUCUUUUUUAUACUAGAAUCAUAUUUAUUACAUGAUUUAUUUAACCUGAGUAGAUAUGAAAAUAUGUACAAUUCAUUAUUUCAAACAUAUUCCUAAUUCAGAACAAAUGAUCUUCAUCUAUUGAAUUAUUCAAAGAUUUACUUCUCUGUGGUUUACACAUGUAAAUACCAUCAAAUGAUUCAACACAAUCUCAAUUAAAUCACUAGUCUUCUUUUCAUGCGCUCUUAAUUACGAUAGAUCGCAUCAUAGCUUUAACCUGCAAAUUGAGCACGACUGCCCAACAAGUCUAACAGUCUAUCAUGCAUAACAUAACACAUAUGUUUCACAUUCAGUUCAUGCAUUUAUAUUCUUGAUGUUCAAGCAUAUUAUAAAUGCAUUAUCACAUUUAUAUUUUGCUGGUAGCAACAUACAUACCAUAGCAUACUACACAUGUCCUGUACAUAUCACUCAUUGCACAUAUACAUUGAGUUCCCCGACUCAAUUCAAUAAUUAGUUAUAAUUUGACAUUCAUCAUUCACAAAGCAAAUAAUGCAGUUCAUAGGUAUUACAUACUUAUAAACGUAAACCAUGCUAACAAUUAUCUAUAGCAAUUAUAAGUCCACAUAAAUAAACUGAGAAACUUGCCUUGAUUGGAGAUUACCGUUAAACUUAACUUAGCUUCUUUCCAAAAUUCCUACACAAUCGUGUUUACAUAUACACACAUAUUAGGUAACCAUUUAUGUAACAAAAACAUGCAUGCAUAUAUAUUAACAAUGAUUAUUAGUAUAUAUAAACUAUAAUAUUUUAUUCUCAUCUUAAAACUAAUCUUGGUUUAUUAAGAAAUUUUAUUCAUUUUAACCUUUUUAUGCACAAUAAAGGUCUCUCAAAUUUUUAAUAUGUAAAUAUUUUACAUCUUGAAGCUUAAAUUAUCCAUAUUCUAUUUUAGGAAUAUCUUAUGCAUUUACUCAUUAAAUUCGGGAUUUAAAUAACUAAUAAAUAGCUUUUAUAGUAAAAUUCAAUUUACUAUAUUAUUUCUUUAAUAUAAAUAAUUUUUAUAUUAUUAUUUUUCAUGUUCAUGAGUUAACUCGAAUCAUUAUCUCAUAUAUAAAUAUUUCAUCCCGCUAACACAUUCGAUUUACUCUUCGUUUUGCAGAUAUUUAUAUUUUCACUAUAUAUGAAUGUAUUAGCCACACAACCAUGUCAUAUAACUUGUGCAGUUAUAUUUUAAAUAUUCACAUUGACCACCUCUUUUCAAAAACAUUUAUUCUUUUACUCACGAUAAUAAUUUAUCGCUUUAAUAGAUUUUGACAUGAUUUACUUCAUGAAUAUCUCACAAUUUUAGUUUUAUAAUCCACUUGUAGCUUAAUAUAUGGGUAUUCCAUAUCUCUUAUACCUCACUUAAGUAUUUAAGGUGAAUACAUAAUAUAUCUUUAUGUAUUGUUCAUGAUUAUAUAAUAUACGGACAAAUUAUAGCUUUUAAUUUGCUUAAUAUACCCAUUUUUGUAAAUUGUUUUGUUAAAACCCAUAAUGUUUCCAAGUAAUACUAAACAACCCCAUAAAACAAUAACAGCCCCAUGGCGUGGCCUUGCUUGGCUAAACAGCCUUUCUGAGCUUACGACGCUCACUUUGUUAAUUUCACAUUCUCAACUCGUUAAUUCAAAUUCUAUUAAGCUUUGGUUAUGUUGUAGAUUAUAUACCCGUCUACUUUUACUAACUUAUAAACUAACUUCACGGGUACGCAAACAAACUACAAAAAAAAUGCAGGUCAAACUGCUUGCCGCUUUGUGCUACUGACUGCUACUGCUGCUGCCAUGGGCAGCAGUUCCUUACGCAACAUGGCCUCUCUACAAUUUCAUAUCUUUUAGCUCAUAACUUCGAUUAUAACAAAUUUUGGAUAUAUUGUAGACACCAUAUUAGGCAAUAUUUAGAAAAUAUAAUCCACCUAUUUUGGACAUCAUAGGCAGUCCAAAACAGACCCCAAAAAUGUUUGGUCGAAACUGUUUUUUUUCCAACUUUACUCUCUCUCGCUAAAACAGUCAUAACUAAUUCGUUUUAAAACCUUUUUGAGUGAUUCUAGCGCCCACGCGAAGCUAACUUCCGGGGCUACAACUCUUAUUUAAUAACUUUUACUAAAUUCUGCACCCAUAAUUCCAGAAAAUCCGCGCAAUGGGCUGGUCAGAAUCUGAUUUCUAGUUUGACAAAUUCGACACAUUUCCUUCCAAUCACCAUAACUCCCUCAUCCGAGGUCGGAAUGAGGUCAUUCCAAAGCCUAUGGCUUCCUAACUUAGUGCACUACAACUACCCAGAAACUCAGAAUUUUUCAGGCAACAUAGUUAUUCCAGAAUUUGACACUAUAGUCACUGUUCAUUCAGUUUUUAUUUCUAGACAUGGUUUACUAAAAUCUUCAUCACGGAUUCGUUUUAACUCCGUUUUGGUUCAUUCAAGUUAGGAAAUCUUCACAACUUAGAGUCCUAUAACAUACAAUCCUCAAAUUAAGCUUUUAGACAUAAAUCAAAAGCACAAAUGAUCCUCAAGCUCAGUCCCAAAAACUAUCCAACAUAGCACUCAAAAAUGGCUUGACACACUAAUGUUUGGAGUUUUCAUUUUGGAUUAAAAUCGCCUUUCUUACUAUUUUGAUUCCUUCAAUUCUUUUAACUAACUGUAUAAAAUGUUCAUAAAUGUAAUCUUAACUUUGAUUUUUCCCAAAUUCUUAAUUUUUAAGAAAAACGGUCCAUAUAGAACUUUUGUCAAACAGUAGGUGUGCAUUAAUUUAUCAUUAUUUUAAGAAACAGAACUCAUAACCAUUUGAAGAUGAUUAUGCCAAGAAUUUCUCAAUUCUUCUACCUUAUUACUCCACACACCAUAUAUGUUCCCAUUUCUGCAAACAAUUUCACAACUGAUUUCAUAAAAAUUACCUAAACCUUUUAGUUUAAGUAUCCAUAUACUAUGAACUUACUUAGCUUACAUACCAUGUCUUCAAUUUCCAAACAUGAUUCAUAUUAGAUGUCAUAUGACUAUAACAUAUCAAUUUCUAUUGCUAUACAGACAUAGUAUUUGGUGAUUACACUAUCAAUUCCCUUUUCCACAACCAAAUUCACCACUCAUAAAUAAACUGAAACAUAUGGUUUACCUUGCAAUAAUUGAUUAAUGGGCUGGAUUUCACUUCAAUGAUCAACUUAUAUUCUAUUUUAUUUUUUUUUGCUGCUAGUUGAAAUCUUCCCCGAUCUAGAUUACAACUUCAGUUCACUAUCCUUCUUUCUUUUCUUCCACCGAAACUCAACAGAGUUUGAUUAUGAAAUAUAGCUUGGGUAAUUUCGUUAGAAGAGAUGGAAAUGGAACGGGACUUGGUUCGAUAAAGAGAACUAAAAUUACUUCAUGCCCUGCUUCACUUAUAUUGGUUUAAUAUGCUUGUUG
rnacentral:lncRNA from 1 species